AUUGAACGCUGGCGGCAGGCCUAACACAUGCAAGUCGAACGAGUGGCGGACGGGUGAGUAAUGUCUGGGAAACUGCCUGAUGGAGGGGGCUAACUACUGGAAACGGUAGCUAAUACCGCAUACCAUCGGAUGUGCCCAGAUGGGAUUAGCUAGUAGGUGGGGUAACGGCUCACCUAGGCGACGAUCCCUAGCUGGUCUGAGAGGCUGACCAGGCAAAUGGGAACUGAGACACGGUCCAGAGUCCCACGGGAGGCAGCAGUGGGGAAUAGUUCACAAUGGGCGCAAGCCUGAUGCAGCCAUGCCGCGGGUAUGAAGAAGGCCUUCGGGUUGUAAAGUACUUUCAGCGGGGAGGCGUUACCCGCAGAAGAAGCACCGGCUAACUCCGUGCCAGCAGCCGCGGUAAUUC
rnacentral:rRNA from 1 species